GUUUCCGCUAUAAAACUUCACUUGCUUCCUCACACUCCCCUACGCAGCUCAAGGACGCGGCACGUUUAGCUUAGGACAGUCAAACAGCAGCAAUGGUGACGGCGGCGAGGCUACUCCCCCUAAUCCUCUUCCUCACUGCGGUGGCCGUGGGCUGCAGCGCGUGGGAGAUGAACAUCCGGUUGCCGACGGAGAGACUGGCCUACGGCGGCGGCGAGGCUGUGGUGGCGCCGAUCAUACACGCGCUACGGCCGCUGCUGGGCUCCGGCCGGCAGCUGGCGGCGCGCGCCGGCGUGGCCUGCGACAGCUGGAGGCUGGGCGUGGAGGCGCACAACGUGAUCGACUGGAGGACGGUGCCAGCCGAGUGCGAGGGCUACAUCGGCCACUACAUGCUAGGCGAACACUACCGCCGCGACUUCGCCGUCGUCGUCGACGAGGCCGUCGCCUACGCCGAGACCCUCAAGCUCGCCGGCAAUGGCAAGGAGAUCUGGGUGUUCGACAUCGACGAGACCUCUCUCUCCAACCUCCCCUACUACGCCAAGCACGGCUUCGGAGCAACGCCAUACAACGCGACAAGCUUUCGUGAGUACGUGGCAGAGGGGAGCGCACCGGCGCUGCCAGAGACGAGGUGACUGUACUACCGGCUGCUUGAGCUCGGCGUCAAGCCGGUGUUCCUAACAGGCCGCACCGAAGACCAAAGGACCAUCACCGUCACGAACCUCCACCGACAGGGAUUCUCCGGGUGGGAGAAACUGCUGCUCAAGCCAGCGGUGCACGCCACCGGUGAGCUCCAAGGGUCCGCCGUUGAAUACAAGUCCGGCGAGCGGCAGAAGCUGCAGGACGCUGGCUUCAUCAUCGUCGGGAACAUCGGUGACCAGUGGAGUGACAUCCUCGGCGCGCCGGAGGGCGCCCGCACCUUCAAGCUGCCUGACCCCUUAUACUACAUUGGAUAGGUUGCCGCGCUCGCGCCGGCGGCCAUUGCUAGUUCUAAUAAGCUUGCGCGCCAUAAAUCUAGUCACGUUCACUUCAUGAUGUUGCUUGUGAUGAACUGCUUCUAAUAAUCGCCAUCUACUAGCUGUUGGUAGAUGAUAUUUCUAAUAAAACGUGUGUUGGAGUAUCAUGGUUCCAGAGCAGUACAAGAAUUUAUCUAUGUGAGCAAACUUGUUCUGUU